rnacentral:rRNA from 1 species
GACGAACGCUGGCGGCGUGCUUAACACAUGCAAGUCGAACGGAAAGGCCCUGCUUUUGUGGGGUGCUCGAUUGGCGAACGGGUGAGUAACACGUGAGUAACCUCCCCCUGACUUUGGGAUAACUUCAGGAAACUGGGGCUAAUACCGGAUAGGAUCUCCUGCUGCAUGGUGGGGGUUGGAAAGUUUCGGCGGUUGGGGAUGGACUCGCGGCUUAUCCGCUUGAUUGUGUGGUAGUGGCUUACCAAGGCUUUGACGGGUAGCCGGCCUGAGAGGGUGACCGGCCACAUUGGGACUGCGAUACGGCCCAGAAGCGAACGGGAGGCAGCAGUGGGGAAUAUUGCACAAUAGGCGGAAGCCUGAGGCAGAAACGCCGCGUGCGGGAUGACGGCCUUCGGGUUGUAAACCGCUGUCGCCUGUGACGAAGCGUUAGUGACGGUAAUGGGUAAAGAAGCACCGGCUAACUACGUG